rnacentral:ncRNA from 1 species
CUAAAAGCGAUGACGGGAACAAGAUAUUUUGGUAUUUCUUCAGAGAGCAGCUGUAUGGUGAAAAGCUGUGAUUACCUUUAUAUGUAUAGCUCAUCCCCGAGUUUUCUGUGCGAGGUUAUGUAGUGCAGAACGCAAGACUGCGUUAUCGGUCAGGACUUUGUUGGAAGUCUGUAAGGGGUGUACAGUGAUGUGCACCUAAAACCGGGUGGUACCACGGAUGUUUUAUUCGUCCCUUUU